GCCUGGCUAGCUCAGUCGGUAGAGCAUGAGACUCUUAAUGUCAAGGUCAUGGGUUCGAGCCCCAAAUUGGGUG
rnacentral:tRNA from 1 species